rnacentral:rRNA from 1 species
UGCCAGCCGCCGCGGUAAUACGGAGGGGGUUAGCGUUGUUCGGAAUUACUGGGCGUAAAGCGUACGUAGGCGGAUUAAUAAGUUAGAGGUGAAAUCCCAGGGCUCAACCCUGGAACUGCCUUUAAAACUGUUAGUCUUGAGAUCGAGAGAGGUGAGUGGAAUUCCAAGUGUAGAGGUGAAAUGCGUAGAUAUCGGGAAGAACACCAGUGGCGAAGGCGCUCUGCUGGCUCGAUACUGACGCUGAGGUGCGAAAGUGUGGGGAGCAAACAGGAUUAGAUA